UAAUAUUUAAGUAUUUAAAGGGAUUCUGUCACCAGUUGUUUUCAUUAUAAAUCACUUCUACUUCCCUGUAGAUGACAAUUACUGUAUCUCAGACGUACCUUUUUGUAGACACAUCAAUCUUUGUCCCCCC